UACGUAGGGGGCUAGCGUUGUUCGGAAUCACUGGGCGUAAAGGGAGCGUAGGCGGAAAGGUAAGUUAGGUGUGAAAUCUGUUGGCUUAACUGGUAGAUUGCUUCUAAAACUGCUUUUCUUGAGUAUGGGAGAGGGUGAUGGAAUUCCAGGUGUAGCGGUGGAAUGCGUAGAUAUCUGGAAGAACACCAGUUGCGAAGGCGGUAACCUGGCCCAAUACUGACGCUGAGGCUCGAAAGCUAGGGGAGCAAACAGG
rnacentral:rRNA from 1 species